rnacentral:rRNA from 1 species
CCUACGGGUGGCAGCAGUGAGGAAUAUUGGUCAAUGGCCGGAAGGCUGAACCAGCCAAGCCGCGUGAAGGACGAAGGUGCCAAGCAUUGUAAACUUCUUUUGUCAAGGGACAAAAUCAGGCUCGAGAGCCUGACCGAGUGUACUUGAAGAAAAAGCAUCGGCUAACUCCGUUCCAGCCGCCGCGGUAAUACGGAGGAUGCGGGCGUUAUCCGGUUUUAUUUGGUUUAAAGGGUGCGUAGGGGGACUGUUAAGUCAGCGGUAAAAGCCCGGGGCUCAACCCCGGCGAGCCGUUGAAACUGGCUGGCUUGAGAUGUGGAGAGGUAUGCGGAAUGCGCAGUGUAGCGGUGAAAUGCUUAGAUAUUGCGCAGAACUCCGAUUGCGAAGGCAGCAUACCGGCGGCGAUCUGACGCUGAGGCACGAAAGCGUGGGUAUCGAACAGGAUUAGAUACCCGUGUAGUC